UCCUUAGUAGCUUAGACAGUGAAGCGUCUGUCUGCAAUGCAGGAGACCCGGGUUCAAUCCCUGGGUUGGAAA
rnacentral:tRNA from 1 species